rnacentral:rRNA from 1 species
UACGAAGGGGGGCUAGCGUUGCUCGGAAUCACUGGGCGUAAAGGGUGCGUAGGCGGGUCUUUAAGUCAGGGGUGAAAUCCUGGAGCUCAACUCCAGAACUGCCUUUGAUACUGAGGAUCUUGAGUUCGGGAGAGGUGAGUGGAACUGCGAGUGUAGAGGUGAAAUUCGUAGAUAUUCGCAAGAACACCAGUGGCGAAGGCGGCUCACUGGCCCGAUACUGACGCUGAUGCACGAAAGCGUGGGGAGCAAACAGG